AACGAACGCUGGCGGCAUGCCUAACACAUGCAAGUCGAACGAGACCUUCGGGUCUAGUGGCGCACGGGUGCGUAACGCGUGGGAACCUGCCCUUAGGUUCGGAAUAACUCCCCGAAAGGGGUGCUAAUACCGGAUAAUGCCUUCGGACCAAAGAUUUAUCGCCUUUGGAUGGGCCCGCGUUGGAUUAGCUAGUUGGUAGGGUAAAAGCCUACCAAGGCGACGAUCCAUAGCUGGUCUGAGAGGAUGAUCAGCCACACUGGGACUGAGACACGGCCCAGACUCCUACGGGAGGCAGCAGUGGUGAAUAUUGGACAAUGGGCGAAAGCCUGAUCCAGCAAUGCCGCGUGAGUGAUGAAGGCCUUAGGGUUGUAAAGCUCUUUUACCCGGGAUGAUAAUGACAGUACCGGGAGAAUAAGCUCCGGCUAACUCCGUG
rnacentral:rRNA from 1 species